ACUGGGCGUAAAGGGCACGCAGGCGGUGACUUAAGUGAGGUGUGAAAGCCCCGGGCUUAACCUGGGAAUUGCAUUUCAUACUGGGUCGCUAGAGUACUUUAGGGAGGGGUAGAAUUCCACGUGUAGCGGUGAAAUGCGUAGAGAUGUGGAGGAAUACCGAAGGCGAAGGCAGCCCCUUGGGAAUGUACUGACGCUCAUGUGCGAAAGCGUGGGGAGCAAACAGGAUUAGAUACCCUGGUAGUCCACGCUGUAAACGAUGUCGAUUUGGGGGUUGAGCUUUGAGCUUGGCGCCCGUAGCUAACGUGAUAAAUCGACCGCCUGGGGAGUACGGCCGCAAGGUUAAAACUCAAAUGAAUUGACGGGGGCCCGCACAAGCGGUGGAGCAUGUGGUUUAAUUCGAUGCAACGCGAAGAACCUUACCUACUCUUGACAUCCAGAGAACAUUCCAGAGAUGGAUUGGUGCCUUCGGGAACUCUGAGACAGGUGCUGCAUGGCUGUCGUCAGCUCGUGUCGUGAG
rnacentral:rRNA from 1 species